GAAGUGCGAUAAGCAAUGCGAAUUGCAGAAUUCCGCGAAUCAUCAGAUCUUUGAACGCAAAUGGCGCCGGAGGGAUCUCCUUUCGGCAUGUCUGUUUCAGUGUCUGAGAGGUUUCACAUAAAUCUUAAUGUGAUUGACGAAGGUGAGUGUUUUAAUACAUCCUCCCGAGUCUCUCAUGAAAGAUGCGCAAGUGGAUCUUUCGGUCCAAUGAAGUGGUCACAUCACUCGCAUGUGAUUUCAUUGGAGUAAUAACCAAACCGAAUUAUCCGAUUACUUGUGGUUUUCUUCUGAAAUAAAAAACAAACUUCCAUACCCUGCAUCUGAGACAGGCAAGAUCACCCGCUGAACUUAA
rnacentral:misc_RNA from 1 species